GCUUUCCCUUCAUCUUCCUCUCUGUUCAUACAUUUCCUGAUUUCAUCUAACUAUCACGCUUCUUCCCUUCAUCUUCCUGCUGCUACUUCACCUUUCCCGAUUUUCCUCUCGUCACUCUCUGGCGAAUCAUCAAUUCCAGGCCACCGGAAAAAUCACGGUUGUUAAAUUGGUUGAUAUGUGUUAGAUUAGAACAUUUUGUUGUCAAUAAGCUAUGGAAGCCAGUGAGGAUGCUGAUGGUCUAGCUGUUCCAGCCGGUGAGAAGAUAGAUAUUGGCAAAGAAUUGUCUGCUGUGAAGAAAGGUGGUUGCGGCUCCAAUUGAGUAAGGAUGCCCCUUGGAUUUAGGUGGAACCAAUUUUACUCGUGUGGCUUCCAUAUGUUCAAUUCCUGAAGCCCGCGGAAAAUGUUGCCAUCACAUCAAUGCAUAUGUUGCCUUUCCGUUUCUCAUAAUGCAAAUGAAACGAGUAACCUUGGUGUUAGUUCAGAUCUUUCUGAAAUCUGUUUCCGUUAUAUGUUACAAGCCUUAGAACUUUAUGGAGUUCCUGCAAAUACAACAACAUUUUGUAGAUUUGGGACCAAAAUUCCUGUUAACUAUGAGUGUAAGGUAGAACCAGUGUUGCACAAAUGCAGAAAUGCUGCAUUUUCUCCAGGCUUUGCUGAUGUAGCUGAAAGUUGUCAACUCGCACUUUCAGGAGAUACUGGCUGCAGGAGAUGUAUAAAUGCUAGCCUUACAUAUCUACGUUAAAGAAUAGUUGCUGAAGAUAAUAUUAUUAUGCUGAUGACUUGUCGAGAUGCUAUUUUUGUUACUCUUGUCAGCCAAAGCGAAGACACAUCUGCUGUUCGGUUUGCGAGCUGCUUCUUUGGAGUUCCAAGAAUUAGAUCAACAGUUCCCGGGGCAACACCACCUCCAUUAUCUGCCAUGCCAUCUCCAAGUCCAGUGAACUUGAUGGAUUAUUUUCUUUGACAUGCUUAUAGAAGCAGCGACAUCGGUAUAUGACAACAGCAACAAAAUAACAGCAUCAGACAUCAGCACACCACAGUAGUAGCGAGAACAACAAAACAGUAGUAGUACUUAUCCAUCUUGGCAACAGUAGCAGCGACAACAACCCCUAACUUGCUCUAAUAGUGAAUAAGUAAAGUUAAGCUAUAUAUAGUAUUUAAACACAAAAAAGCUAUAUAUUGUAUUUUAUUCAUUUUCAUGAUUUCUCUUAUCCUCUAUAUAAAUGGAACUUUUCAACGUACUGGAUUUUUGUUUGUUCUCUUGGAUUGAUUGAAUAUUGAAUUUGCAAUGCUACUGUUCUGUAAAUUGGCGCUUCUAUUAUAUAGUUUGAUGUCUGCAGAUAUGCAAAAAUAAACGCAGAAUUAUCUACUAUCAAUUGAGUCAAUAUAGGAUCAAGUUAUAAGUGGUUGCCAAGACCCACAAAUUCGGAGCAAAAAUUUUGAUUCCUGAUUACUUUUACCCAAAUAAACUUUAUCAUCAUUUUCAUUUUAUCGCCAUCCUUAUUUAAAUGAAAUGACAAAAAUAUUCCUGAAUUUAAA